rnacentral:rRNA from 1 species
UACGUAGGUGGCAAGCGUUGUCCGGAUUUACUGGGCGUAAAGCGUGCGCAGGCGGUUUUGUAAGUCUGUCGUGAAAUCCCCGGGCUCAACCUGGGAAUUGCGAUGGAGACUGCAAGGCUAGAAUCUGGCAGAGGGGGGUAGAAUUCCACGUGUAGCAGUGAAAUGCGUAGAGAUGUGGAGGAACACCGAUGGCGAAGGCAGCCCCCUGGGUCAAGAUUGACGCUCAUGCACGAAAGCGUGGGGAGCAAACAGG